ACGCACGCUGGCGGCGUGCUUCACCCCUGCCAGUCGUACGGUAAGGCCCUUUCGGGGGUACCCGAGUGGCGAACGGGUGAGUAACACGUGAGUAACCUGCCCACAACUUUGGGAUAACGCUAGGAAACUGGUGCUAAUACUGGAUAUGUGCUCCUGCUGCAUGGUGGGGGUUGGAAAGCUCCGGCGGUUGUGGAUGGACUCGCGGACUAUCAGCUUGUUGGUGGGGUAGUGGCCUACCAAGGCGGCGACGGGUAGCCGGCCUGAGAGGGUGACCGGCCACAUUGGGACUGAGAUACGGCCCAGACUCCUACGGGAGGCAGCAGGGGGGAAUAUUGCACAAUGGGCGCAAGCCUGAUGCAGCAACGCCGCGGGCGGGAUGACGGCCUUCGGGUUGUAAACCGCUUUCAGCAGGGACGAAGCUUUUUGUGACGGUACCUGCAGAAGAAGCACCGGCUAACUACGUG
rnacentral:rRNA from 1 species